rnacentral:rRNA from 1 species
AAUACGGAGGGUGCGAGCGUUAAUCGGAAUUACUGGGCGUAAAGCGCAUGCAGGUGGUUUGUUAAGUCAGAUGUGAAAGCCCGGGGCUCAACCUCGGAAUUGCAUUUGAAACUGGCAGACUAGAGUACUGUAGAGGGGGGUAGAAUUUCAGGUGUAGCGGUGAAAUGCGUAGAGAUCUAAAGGAAUACCGGUGGCGAAGGCGGCCCCCUGGACAGAUACUGACACUCAGAUGCGAAAGCGUGGGGAGCAAACAGGAUUAGAUACCCUGGUAGUCCACGCCGUAAACGAUGUCUACUUGGAGGUUGUGGCCUUGAGCCGUGGCUUUCGGAGCUAACGCGUUAAGUAGACCGCCUGGGGAGUACGGUCGCAAGAUUAAAACUCAAAUGAAUUGACGGGGGCCCGCACAAGCGGUGGAGCAUGUGGUUUAAUUCGAUGCAACGCGAAGAACCUUACCUACUCUUGACAUCCAGAGAACUUUCCAGAGAUGGAUUGGUGCCUUCGGGAACUCUGAGACAGGUGCUGCAUGGCUGUCGUCAGCUCGUGUUGUGAAAUGUUGGGUUAAGUCCCGCAACGAGCGCAACCCUUAUCCUUGUUUGCCAGCACUUCGGGUGGGAACUCCAGGGAGACUGCCGGUGAUAAACCGGAGGAAGGUGGGGACGACGUCAAGUCAUCAUGGCCCUUACGAGUAGGGCUACACACGUGCUACAAUGGCGCAUACAGAGGGCGGCCAACUUGCGAAAGUGAGCGAAUCCCAAAAAGUGCGUCGUAGUCCGGAUCGGAGUCUGCAACUCGACUCCGUGAAGUCGGAAUCGCUAGUAAUCGUGGAUCAGAAUGCCACGGUGAAUACGUUCCCGGGCCUUGUACACACCGCCCGUCACACCAUGGGAGUGGGCUGCAAAAGAAGUGGGUAGUUUAACCUUCGGGAGGACGCUCACCACUUUGUGGUUCAUGACUGG